UACAGAGGGUGCGAGCGUUAAUCGGAAUUACUGGGCGUAAAGCGUGCGUAGACGGUUAUUUAAGUCGGAUGUGAAAGCCCCGGGCUCAACCUGGGAAUUGCAUUCGAGACUGAAUAGCUAGGGUACGGUAGAGGGAAGUGGAAUUUCCGGUGUAGCGGUGAAAUGCGUAGAUAUCCGGAAGAACACCGGUGGCGAAGGCGGUCUGCUGGGCAGUUGCUGACACUGAGGCGCGACAGCGUGGGGAGCAAACAGG
rnacentral:rRNA from 1 species